CCUACGGGAGGCUGCAGUGAGGAAUAUUGGUCAAUGGCCGCGAGCCUGAACCAGCCAAGUCGCGUGAAGGAUGACUGCCCUACGGGUUGUAAACCUCUUUUAUAAAGGAAUAAGGUGAGGCACGAGUGCCUCUGUGUGAGUACUUGAUGAAAAAGGAUCGGCUAACUCCGUGCCAGCAGCCGCGGUAAUACGGAGGAUCCGAGCGUUAUCCGGAUUUAUUGGGUUUAAAGGGUGCGUAGGUGGGUUGUUAAGUCAGUUGUGAAAGUUUGGGGGUCAACCGUAAAACUGCAGUUGAAACUGGGAGUCUUGAGUGCGGGAAGGGUGGGCGGAAUUCGUGGUGUAGCGGUGAAAUGCUUAGAUAUCACGAAGAACUCCGAUUGCGAAGGCAGUCCACUGGACUGCAACUGACACUGAGGCUCGAAAGUGUGGGUAUCGAACAGGAUUAGAUACCCGAGUAGUC
rnacentral:rRNA from 1 species